rfam:Gossypium arboreum cultivar AKA8401 contig_88574_1, whole genome shotgun sequence.
AAUCCUAUGAUGAGGACACUUAUAAAGUAAUUCCUUGAAUCUUUCCUACGCUUCGUACAAUGAUUUGUCAUCCAAUUGUGAAAAAGUGGUUAUCUCAUUUUGCAACU